ensembl:lncRNA
CACAGGGCGCGGUGCCACGUGGACGGCGCGGCCUCGUCACCUGGAGCCCCGUCCAGCCUGGAAGCUGUGCCUGGCACGGCGUCCAGCUGCUCUUGGAGACAGAAAUGGCAACCCACCCCAGUAUUCCUGCCUGGAGCAUCCUGUGGACAGAGGGACCUGGCCGGCUGCAGCCCAUGGGGUCACAGAAGAGCCAGACACAACUGAGCAACCGAGCAAGAGCAAAGUGGCCCUGGCACUGUUUAUUGAGUGGACUGUCCUUCUUCCAUUGAAUUGCUUUUCUCCUGUUUUCUAAAAUUAGUUGAGUGUUUGUGUGAGUCUGUUUCUAGCUCUCUGUUUGAUUUCUCUGACCUAUGUGUCUAAUCCCUCUGGCAAAUCCACACAGUUCUGAUCACUGUAGCUAUAUAUGCAUGCCUGUGUGCUCAGUAAUGUCCCACUGUCUGCGACCACAUGGACGGUAGCCCACCAGGCC